GUGAGGAAUAUUGGACAAUGGGCGCAAGCCUGAUCCAGCCAUGCCACGUGCAGGAAGACGCAUCUAUGGUGUGUAAACUGCUUUUGUACGGGAAGAAACACUCCCUCGUGAGGGAGCUUGACGGUACCGUAAGAAUAAGGAUCGGCUAACUCCGUGCCAGCAGCCGCGGUAAUACGGAGGAUCCAAGCGUUAUCCGGAAUCAUUGGGGUUAAAGGGUCCGUAGGCGGUUUAAUAAGUCAGUUGUGAAAGCCCAUCGCUCAACGAUGGAACGGCCAUUGAUACUGUUAGACUUGAAUUACAAGGAAGUAACUAGAAUAUGUAGUGUAGCGGUGAAAUGCUUAGAUAUUACAUGGAAUACCAAUUGCGAAGGCAGGUUACUACUUGUGGAUUGACGCUGAUGGACGAAAGCGUGGGGAGCGAACAGGAUUAGAUACCCCUGUAGUCC
rnacentral:rRNA from 1 species